rnacentral:rRNA from 1 species
GACGAACGCUGGCGGCGUGCUUAACACAUGCAAGUCGAACGGAAAGGCCUGCUUUCCCUUGUGGAUUGCGGGUACUCGAGUGGCGAACGGGUGAGUAACACGUGAGUGAUCUGCCCCCAACUUGGGUAUAAGCCUGGGAAACUGGGUCUAAUUCCCGAUAGGACUGCAGGGUGGUGCCUGUGGUGGAAAACGAUUUUCUAGUGGUUGGGGAUGAGCUCGCGGCCUAUCAGCUUGUUGGUGGGGUAAUGGCCUACCAAGGCGGCGACGGGUAGCCGGCCUGAGAGGUGGGACGGACACAUUGGAACUGAUAGACGGCCCAAACGCCUACGGGAGGCAGCAGUGGGGAAUAUUGCACAAUGGGCGGAAGCCUGAUGCAGCGACGCCGCGUGGAGGAUGACGGCCUUCGGGUUGUAAACUCCUUUCGACCGCGAGGAAGCCACCUGGUUGGAAGGGUGGUGACGGUAGUGGUAGAAGAAGCACCGGCUAACUACGUG